rnacentral:tRNA from 1 species
GAGGGUAUAGCUCAGGGUAGAGUGUGUGCUUAGCACUCAUGAGGUUUUGGGUUCAAUCCCCAGUACCUUCA